CUCCACUGUCAUAUACAUACAUAUAUACCUUCGAUCGAUCGAUCUCUUUUCUCAUUUAAUUCAAGGCUUUUAAACACAUCAAAUUAAGAGAAAAUGAGUAGCGGAGAUUGGAUGUGUGGUGCAUGUCAACACUCAAAUUUCAAGAAACGCGACGUUUGUCAGAAAUGUCAGUGUCCCAAAUUUGCAUCACCGGAUGAGAUUUCAACUCAUGCAAACAAAACAAAGGUGUUGGCGGGCGACUGGUAUUGUUGUUGUGAGGCGCACAACUUUGCUAACCGAACGGAGUGUUAUAGAUGUGGCACACACAAAGACUAUAUCAUGAUGAUGACAUUCGCCACGUCUAGUUAUGCUUAUGAUGUUAGCACUCUUCCAGGAGGGAAAAUUGGCGAUUGGAUGUGUAAUAGGUGUGGAGGACAUAACUUUGCAAGUAAGGUGGAAUGCUAUAGAUGCAAAUGGCCAAGAGAAUAGGAGUAACUAUAAAUUGUGUGCAAAUUUCUUUGUGCUCCUACAAUGCUAUAUGUAAUUUUGUUCUUCCCGUGAUGAUGAUCAAAGAAAUUAUGUAAGAUUUACUUAUCUUUAGCA